GGUCCAGGUGGUGAUUGCGCUCGCUCUCGUCCCAAACGUCGCCACGCGGAGCGGUUCGCACGUCUGCGCGUGCCAGCCGCUCCGUCGCCAUGGUUACCGGACGCCAUGGCGACGGGACGCGUCACCACCUUGAGUCCUACAUUGGCGUGUGAAAGUUUAACGGUGCUUUUUCGGCGCUGGAAGCAGUUUUUUUUAAUGACAAUAGCUUUUCUAGACACGUCUGUUACGGCUGAGUCCUUGUAAUAUGUUCAGGAAUAAUUAUCAGGGCGGAGCCGUGGUGGAAAUCUUCAGUGGCCAAGGAAAAGACCCAGUGGCAAAAUGGAAACUGAGCGGAGGACCAUGUGCCAUUCACAAGGAAUAUAAUAAAGAAGUCAAAGGAUUUGUUUACUGUCUGGAGGGAAGCAGCCAGACAGUCAAGAUGCAAAUACCCCAGAAUGGAAAACUGUCUCUUGGGCUACUUCAAAGGUUCUUGGUCCUUCAGGUGAAUAUUCCACAGUGCAAAGAUUUUUCCAUUGAGCUUGUGAUAACUGAUUCUGAGCACCUAAAAAGACGACUUCACUUAUCAACGGUGCAUAAAGAGCUGUCUGCCACACUUUUUCAUGCAAAGAUACCUUUUGUGGGACUGAAGCGCAACAUUUGGUGUACUUUGUGCAUCGACCUUGUAUCAUUCACUGCUGAGCUGUUCAAGGGAUUUUUGACACUGGAUGGCAUCACUUUGUUUGCUACUUGUAAAGUCCGCAGAAUCUUCACCAUGAAAGCAGAGCCCACAGCUGAUGAUAUGUUUCUCAAUGGAAGUGGCCUCGUGGACCUGAUUCCUCGCAGCUGCCAGUUCUCACCAGAUGUAAGCCACGUAACUCAAAUGUUAAACAUGGAGAAUGUGCGGAUGGCAGAUAUGAGGACUGCUCCUGUGAACUCUGAUUGUGUUCCUGAUCAGUCUGCCGCUGUCAGAUCAAGCAGUUAUCGACGAGCUAGGCCCCAGGCCAAUUCACACACAGCCUCAGGCUCAAGGGCUUCAGGACCACCUCUUCAGACUGGAAAAGCAGGCAGCACAGCUUCAGAUGGAAUGGAGAGUUCACUUUUUAUCACAAAUACGGGAACUACAUCUAUUAGAAUGAAGCAAAAGGGUUCUACUGAAAGUCAGACCAUUGCCAAUCUCAGUGAGAAUGUAUCACAUGGAGAAGCAGGACUCACUCAGCGUGAGGGAACACCUGGCGGUUUGCAGCCCCAACCUCCCAAAGACAGAGUAUUUGACAAGCAGGGAUUAAAGAAGCUGCGGGUCCUCAGUGCUGGAAAAGAGAGGCUGGCAUCACCAGCAGCCUAUUCAGAUGUGGAGCCAGGAGGCCACGGAAAAAGUAGUAAAACCAGUGAGAAGUGCACUUCCUCAUCCAGUAGGCAAGAGAGGAGAGAGCAGCCUAUGACCCUACUGAAAAAGACAGAGCACCACCUAACAGCAGAGGAGCAUGGUUUCAGUGCUGCAAAGGAGAAUUCCAUGGCCGCUCUGACUCCAGCUCAGUCUGUCUCCUGCUCGAUCCGGCGAGGUUUGCCUUCUGACCUGCAGGUCUGGAGCAGCUGGGAGAGUAAUGAGGGGCUCGAGCCUCAGCUCACUCUGCAAGAGGAGGUGUUCACUUUCUCUUCCCAGCCUCACUCACCCAAACGAGGGCAAGGCCACGGUGACCAGCAGAAAAUGGAGAUUGGAGAUGACCAGGUUCAGAACAAAAGCAGGAGGCGACAUGAGGCCAAGCCUGAAGAUGAUUUUAUUGGGAGUGAAAGUGAUGAGGAUGGGAACUGCACAACAUUCCGGCAUCAAAGAACAUGUGUGGAGUCAAACCCUGCUACUCCCACAGCUCUGGAUCCAGCUUUGAAUGUUUUACUUGAAGACCACGUUCAAUCCCACAACAUGGACCAAACAUCAGACGAGCUCAGUGCAACUACAGCUAGAAUUCAGCCUCCACUCAGCAAGAGAGCCGGAGCAGCUGGGAUGGGACCCAAACGCUACCUCCCGCCCAGAGCACGCAGCCCGAGUGGAUCCGUGGUAGCAAACCCGGUUCAGAGCGUAAACAACAGCGUGUCACUUUCUAGGAAGCUGCUGCACGAAGUCCAAUUGGAUGGGUUCCUGCAUCACAAGGAAGAAGGAGAGGAUGAGACACUGAGGACAGCUGCUUCUAGCCCGGACGAGUUUCACCUGCUUGGUAGUCUGCGGAUGCAUGAGGAGGAUGACGAGGAGCUCCAAAUGCUUGCAAGCCUUAAGAGAGAGCAGGAGGAGGAGGAAGAGUGUGGAUCCACUGGCCUCAGUGCAUCUCAGAUCCACCAGUGUAAUGUCAGCAUCAGCAUGAGCUGUGACGACGCCUCAACUUGGACCCACAUCACUCUGCCAGCUAAUCAGGGCCACCACUAUCAAAACGAAAUGAACCCACUCCUUCACUCAAACCCAAGGGAAUGGAUUGAUGUCCUCAGUCCUCCUAUUAUGCCUCCCAGCCAGCGGAGAAGGUCGCCCAGCACACAGAAAAACCAGGAAAAUAUAGUUCCAGGCUGGGUUAAGGCUUCACCCCGGAAUUAUUGCAUCUGUGAUCCUGGUGUCAAUGGCGGCCAUCGCUGCAGCCAUAUUGAUCGUGCGAAAAUACUGCUUCCCAGUUAACGAGGCCACAUACAGAUACUCGUUGCUGAGGCGGAUGGAGGAUCAGGGUUCAGCAGGGACGGAGGGGGAUGGCGACAGGGGUCCCUGCACGGUGGGAGAGGAGUCAGACGAGGAGAUGCUGGAAUAAAAACCUCAGGCCGUGCUGCUGCUGGACCGGAGGCGGGUUUGUUGUCGAUGAAUCGCGUGACUUAAAGGCUGCAGUUAAUGAUUAGGUUCAUUAUGGAUCCUAAAAAUAGUCCGAUCACACAGCUUGUGGUGAUAUAAGCAGAAGGCAUUUUACACAGGGAGGUGUUGGUUUCUGUACUUCUGUGGCUUGAGUUUUAUUAAAUCUGAAAAAUAAACCUAAUGCACUGUAGCUGUGGUGUAAACAGGGAUUUUGGAGCAUGGAACAAACAAUUGUGUGUAAAUAUGAGGAUCUCUCAGCUUGGUCUGCUGUGUUUGUUAAUCUGUCUCUCGGUCCCUCAGGUUUGUGCAAGUGCAAUACAAAUGACUGGCGAGACCCUUAUGAAAGGCUCCAUCCUUUAACAUAGACGCAUACAUAGUGUUUUCCAAGCAACAAUUGCAGCUUAAUAUUAGCUCUAAAAUCAUCUCCGCCAUGAAUAAGUAUUUGCAAUUUGAAGGAUUUGUGCCUUACCAAUAUUUCAGUAUUAGUUCGACUCUUAUAUAAAUGGUUUUCAUGGACGUUUGCCGUAGAUGCAGCUGAGCUUUGCUUAACGCCGUGCUCCGCUCAGCCCGCACCCUUUUUAAAAGGCAUCGCUCCUUUUUUUAUGCUCACGCUAACCAUUUUAAUUAUUUUCUCUUCAGCGUUACACCGGCUCUUUAAUUGACUUCUAGGUGGAGUAAUGUUGCAUGAUAUUUUUGACAACUCCACCUGCUAGGAGUCGUCAUUACUGGAGCACGGGAGUCACAGGAUGCCGAAGACAGCUCAAACUGAUUAAUCAUUCAUCAGAAAUAAUUUCACUAUGCCUUCUGUUAAUUAUUGAUCAACAAAUUAAGCAGUGAAACGAGGUUGUUCUCUCUUCUUGUCAGGGUAAAGUUGCACAUUUUUCAAACAUGUAAUGAAAGAGUUUAUUCUUCGCUUGCUGGUGGUUGAUUUUAAAUGCUUUUGACAACUACUGUCUUGAUUUUAUCUGUGGUGUACUUUCAACACGUAUGUAUAUAGGUUAUGGAAUAAAUAUUCAUCCUGGGCACUGA